AGCACGCUUAGGCGUGUGACUGCGUACCUUUUGUAUAAUGGGUCAGCGACUUAUAUUCUGUAGCAAGGUUAACCGAAUAGGGGAGCCGAAGGGAAACCGAGUCUUAACUGGGCGUUAAGUUGCAGGGUAUAGACCCGAAACCCGGUGAUCUAGCCAUGGGCAGGUUGAAGGUUGGGUAACACUAACUGGAGGACCGAACCGACUAAUGUUGAAAAAUUAGCGGAUGACUUGUGGCUGGGGGUGAAAGGCCAAUCAAACCGGGAGAUAGCUGGUUCUCCCCGAAAGCUAUUUAGGUAGCGCCUCGUGAAUUCAUCUCCGGGGGUAGAGCACUGUUUCGGCAAGGGGGUCAUCCCGACUUACCAACCCGAUGCAAACUGCGAAUACCGGAGAAUGUUAUCACGGGAGACACACGGCGGGUGCUAACGUCCGUCGUGAAGAGGGAAACAACCCAGACCGCCAGCUAAGGUCCCAAAGUCAUGGUUAAGUGGGAAACGAUGUGGGAAGGCCCAGACAGCCAGGAUGUUGGCUUAGAAGCAGCCAUCAUUUAAAGAAAGCGUAAUAGCUCACUGGUCGAGUCGGCCUGCGCGGAAGAUGUAACGGGGCUAAACCAUGCAC
rnacentral:rRNA from 1 species